GCAAUCCCUACAAGGGCAGCUCUUGGGGCACAGAUCAGGGGUGAAAUGGAGACAAGAUCUGGAUGGGCAAAGGAAGGAGAUCCAGCUCACGUUUCAAGGCCAACUCCUCCCCAAGUGCACGACAAUCCCUCCCAUUGAAGGCGCCAAGAAGGAACUCACUGUCAUCGCCGAGACCAGAGUCAGCGGGUGAAGGCAGCGACCAGUUCUGGAACCACAUUCAGUCCCACACCCAAGCAGCUGAGCGAAACUCUUCCUCCUCCACGAGGCCUCUCCCAGCCCUUCAGUUCAUGACGCCUUGGUGAGAGAGGAGGAUCAAAUCAGGCAGGAAUGCAACCACAUCAGUCACCUGGAAGGAACGCAGGCAUCCGCAGAGGAGGGGGUGAGGUGUGGAGUCUCUGCCCGAACAUCGGUUAAGUGAAUUUCAGAAUCUCGGGGCUGGAACGAAUCUCAGGAGCCCGAUUGCAAAUGGGCAGUGGAUGGACCACCUGCUUUAGACUCCACGAGGGGGCUUGUUAAACAUGCAGAGUCCUAGGCUGAGCCCUGGAACCACCUGGUGAGCGGGGAUGGGGAGUUGGAAUCCAGAAAUCUGCAUUUGGUAAGCUCUAUGAGUGAUUUUUCAUUCAAGUGUGAGAAGUAUUGAUCCAAAUCCUGACCCAGCCUCCAGGACAGCAGCACUUGCUAAGGUGAGACACACGGCUGUUUUUUUCCAUUCUUAAACAUAUCUAAGGCUGCAUGCAUUUCCCUCAGCAUUCAGAAAGGCUUUCUCAACUUUCUUUUUUUAUAUCUAAUCUUAGCUUUCUGAGCAUCCUCCUUGCAUAAUUUAUUGAGCACAGACUAUCUACUGGGUGAGUUCAUUGCAUAUUGCCUUUUUACUAUUCAUGGCAUCCUUUGAGUCACAUACAGUUGGAGGCAGCUGGAGAGGGAGGGGAAAAUAAGAAGAAAGGAAGUCGUCGGAAAAGAAGGGAAAGGCAGAGAUGAGGAAGACCUUCCCUUAUCUCCUGCCUUUGGGAACAAUAAGCUGACUUCUUGGUGUGUCCUGGUCCUUUUUACAACUGGAGCAGAUAGAGUGUUAUUGAAACUCAGAACUGCCACAUUUGGAAAAACUAAAUUCUACUUUUGUUUUUCCAGACUUCCCAGGCCAUAUUACAUCUUUCUGACCAGUUGGAUGCUAUAGGAAGUCAGCUCAGAUGCUUCUAGGAAACCUUAGGCUUUUGUGAGAAAAAGAAGGCAUGCAGCUGGUACUAGCCUCCCCUCUUCUUCCAGCAUUGGACAGUGCAUUCAUUUUCUAGGGCUGUCCUAACAAAUUACCACCCUCUGGUGGCUUAAAGCAAGAGGAUCUUAUUAUCUCAGAGUUCUGGAGGCUAGAAGUUUAAAACCAAGGUGUCAGUGGGGCCAUACUCCCUCCAAAGCCUCUAGGAGAGAAAUUUCCUUGCCUCUUCCAGCUCCUGGUGCUUCCUGGCUGAUAUGGUUUGGCUUUGUCCCCACUCAAAUCUCAUCUUGAAUUAUAGCUCCCAUAAUUCCCACGUGCUGUGGGAGGGACCAAGUGGGAGGUAACUGAAUCACAUGAACAGGUUUUUUCUGUGCUGGUCUUGUGAUAGUGAACAUGUCUCAUGAGAUCUGAUGGUUUUAUAAAGGGGAGUUCCCCUGCACUUGCUCUCCUGCUGCUGCCAUGUAAGACGUGACUUUGCUCCUCAUUCACCUUCUGCCAUAACUGUGAGGACUCCCUAGACAUGUGGAACUGUGAGUUGAUUCAGUUGAUUGAACUUCUUUCCUUUAUAAAUUACCCAGUCUCUUCUUUCCUUUAUAAAUUACCCAAUUUAUUAGCAGCGUAAGAACAGAUGAAUACACUGGUAUUCCCUGGCUUGGGACAACAUCAUUCCAAUCUCUGCUUCUGUCUUCAUAUGGCCUUUUCCUCCCUGUCGUUGUGUGUCCUUCUCUGUCUCUUAUAAGGACACAAUCACUGAAGCUCACUCUAAUCCCAUAUGAUCUCAUCUCAAUCCUUAACUACCUCUGAAAAGAUUCUAUAAGGUCACAUUCUGAGGUUCCAGGUGGACAUGGAUUUUGGUGGAGGACACUAUCCAACCCACCACAGAUAGGGACAUUGUAUUAGUCCAUUCUCAUGCUGCUAUAAGGAUAUACCCAAGACUGGGUAAUUUAUAAAGGAAUAGGUUUAACUGAUUCACAGUUCUGCAGGGCUGGGGAGGCCUCAGGAAACUUGCAAUCAUGACGGAAGGGGAAGCGAACACAUCCUUCUUCACAUGGAGGCAGGAGAGAGAAGAAUGAGUGUGAGCGAAGGGGAAGCCCCUGAUAAAACCAUCAGAUCUCAUGGGAACUUACUCACUAUUAUGAGAACAUCAUGGCGGAAACAGCCUCCGUGAUUCAAUUACUUCCUACCAGGCCCUUCCCAUGACACGUGGGGAUUAUGGGAACUACAAUUCAAGAUGAGAUUUGGGUGGGGUCACAGCCAAAUCAUAUCAGACAUGAUUUACAGAGCCACGGAAGCCUGAGGGGCAGCAUGAGGACAAAAAUAAGCUAAGAAAGGCAGAGACAUCAAAGGCUAAAUGUGAAGACUCUGAGCUGAGCCAUGAGCUGUCAGGUCUGGAAAGAGUCAGUGCAAUAAAAACAGCAUGGUUCAUAUUGGCUGUGGAGUCACCCAGACCUGGGUUUAAAUUCCAGGCCACUGUCACUUUCAGGAGGGAAACCCAGAAGAGUUUUCUCAUGCCUUUAAACUUUAUCUAACCUCUUUGAAAACUUUAUUUGAGGAAUACACAAGAUAACACACUCAAUAAUUCACUCACACUCCUUGUUCUUUACCUAACAGCAGCAACUUUGCCUUACUUAUUUUCAUAUCUCCUGCAUAUGACACAUAAUAUACAGUAAUUAAUAUUUGUGGGCCCAGAGUAAUCAACCAAAUAUUUGUUAUGUGUCAGUAGCUACUUUAAAUAUUACAAAGCUUCAGUUUCUACCAGUGAAAUACAGGGAUUUGUUGGGCCUGGGCUACUGGAGUGUUACUGGAAUAAUAGGCCAUUAAAGAUCAGGAAGGCUUCCAGUUCAACGUGGUAGACGAAGUAUGCAUGUGUGCCCCCACUCCAAUCUCACAUUAAAUUGUAAUUCCCCAGUGUCAGGGGUGGGGCCUGGUGGGAGGUGAUUGGAUCAUGGGGGUGGGUUUCUCAUGAAUGGUCUAGCACUGUCCCCCUUGGUACUGUCCUCAUGAUAGUGAGUGAGGUCUUAUGAGUUCUGGUCGUUUAAGUGUGUGCAGCAUCCCCCCACCCGUGCUCUCUUGCUUCUGCUCUGGCCAUGUGACGUGACUGCUUCCCUUCACCUUCUGCCAUGAUUGUAAGCUUCCUGAGGCCUCCCCAGAAGCUGAGUAAAUGCCAGCACCACGCUUCCUGUAUAGCCUGCAGAACCAUGAGCCCAUUAAACCUCUUUUCUUUAUAAAUUACAGUCUCAGAUAUUUCUUUAUAGCAACGCUUGAAUGGCUUAAUACAACAUGAUCCUUUCCACUCCUUCCCUAAGCCCCUGAAAUGAUAGUAAACAAAAUUAAAAGAUAAAAAAAAGUCAGAAAUACAAGGAGAAUGAGAGAUGAGAGGACAUGAGAGGGUUUUGAAAGUCAGCAGCUCUCUCUUCUCUCUUCCUUGGCGCUGCCUACGGAGGUGGCAGCCAUCUCCUACUCAGCGUCGUGGCUACCCUCAGACCCCUCGUGAAGCCCAGGAUUGUGAAAAACAGAACCAAGAAGUUCAUCUGGCACCAGUCAGAUCCAUAUGUCAAAAUUAAGUGUAAAUGGCAGAAACCCAGAGGUACUGACAACAGGGUUCAUAGAAAGUUCAAGGGCUGCUCAACAUUAGUUAUAGGAGUAACAAAAAAACAAAGCACAUGCCGCCCAGUGGCUUCCGGAAGUUCCUGGUCCACAAUGUCAGGGGGUUAGAAGUGCUGCCGAUGUGCAACAAAUCUUACUGUGCUGAGAUGGCUCACAAUGUUUCCUCCAAAAAUGGCAAAGCCAUCAUGGAAAGAGUAGCCCAGCUGCUCUCAGAGCCACCAACCCCAAGGCCAGGCUGCACAGCGAAGAACAGGAAUACACAGCUCACGUGCAUGUCUUAUUUGUGUUUAAACAAAACCAUAAAAACUGCCUGAAAAAAAAAGAAGAAAAAAAAAGUGUCAGCAACUGAUUUAGCUGAUUAAAAAAAGGUGAAGCACAACUGACUACAGAGGAAGAGGCCAUGCAAGGUAGCCGACCCACACCUUGACACACCAGGAUGCAAGGAAUUGGAUGGAGUCACCUAUUGUCUCCCAAAGCAGUGUGUGCAAUGGGGCAGGGAACAGCAGGCUUCCUUGAGAAUCUGUACCAAGCUACCGGAGCUCCCGGAUCCCCAGCACAUCCCUGCCCUGUGCACCAAGCAACUCCUCAUCCGCCACAACAGGAGACAAAACUGAACCAGGGAGAGUCCAGAUGUGGAGACUGCAUAGGGCAGGGGCAGCACAAGGACCAGAAGACAGGGGUAAAAAAGAAAUGUCUACAUGCCCCUUCACCUAGUUUGCUCUUCAAAUGUUAGAGACCAACUUACAAUCCACCCAUGAGAACGGUCUGGAUUUCUCUGUGGUAAGAUAGAUCAUCCCAAGAGAAAACCCUAAACAUAGUGAUAUUUAAGAGUCUCCAGUGAAAAGUGGAGUCUCUCUCUAAGUGCCCUACAGCGAGAUUUACCAGCUCUCUGGUCCCAUCCACCUCCACCCCUACAUCCAGAGCAUUCAAUGAGGCAAGCAUCAUCAGGCAGUCGGAGAAAAUUCCCAGUAGGAAAGACAGAGACUAAAAUAAGAAAAUAGUGUGGGGCAGUGGGGGUGGUGGGAGCAGGGAAGGAGAAAGAAACCUGGAGAAAAUAGGGAGCAAAAGAGAAAAAAAAAGAAAAACGGUGACCUCCUUUCAUUAUUAUCCCUGGAUAGACAGAAGAAAGAAUUGCCUUCAGGAAAGAAGAACAGAAGGCCACAAGAAGGAAUUUUAUGGCAACUAGAGCUUUUAAAAAUUACUAAGUUUCUCUUAUUCCUUAAGAGAAACAGUAAGACAGAAUGAUGAAAAAGAAGAUCAAACCAGGGGUUCCAAGAUCCAACAAAUAAGAAUUCCAAAAGAAGAACAGAAAAAAAUUGAGGAAAGGAAAUUGUGAAAUAAAUAAGAAAGUGAACAUGAGUUUCCAUAUUGAAAUAGAUGAUCAGGGGCCCAGUUCAAUGACUGAAAAGAGACCCAUACCAAGACCCUGUGUCAUGAAACUUCAGCUCAUUAGACAUAAAAUAACCUUCAAAGGAGGGAAGUAGGAGGUGAGGAAAGGAGAGACAGGGAAAGAGAGAGAGAGAGAGAAAUUUCAUAUACAAAAGAGAAGGAAUCUGAAGAGUAUGGAACAACUCAAUAGCAACACACAAGAUGAGAAGGUAAUGGAGCAAUAAUAUCAGAUUUCUAAGAUAAACUGAUUUUCCACCUAAACGUCUGUAGCAAACAAACUAUCAAUCAAGUGUGACAAAAACAUUUUAGAAUAUGCAAGUUCUCAAAAAAUUUUCCUCCACAGAAAACUAUGGAAGGAUAUGCUCCAUCAGAAUGAGGGAGUAAAUCAAGAAAAAGGAAGAUUUGGGAGAGCCUGGCAGCAGAGUAUUUCAUUCAGGGAUUGCCUAGGGUGGCAUAAAACAGAUCCAUGAGCAAAGAGACAUUUAUUGUGCUCAAAUACAAAAGUCCGGUGGGAGCAGUCACAACGCAACAGUUUCGUGAUAUCCCAAUGUGCCCAGUGCUGACUGUCUGUCUUGUAUUACCAAAGCUGGUGUACAGACUCCAUCCUCAUGCUUGCCUCAUGGUGCUAUGGUGGCUGUCCCAUCUCUAGCUUUUCAUCUGUAUUCCAGGCAGGAAGAAGAAUGCAGCAAAUGAGAAAAGAACAGCCUCUACCUCAGAAAAACAAAACUUUCUUAGAAAAAUUAUCAGCAGGCUACUGCUUUUGUCUCCUUGGCCAGAAUUGUGUCGCCCUGUAGCUACAAUGGGCUGGGAAAUACAGUUUUUAGGUUGGUAUAUUAGUUUCCUAUUGCUGUUGUAAUAAAUAACCAUGAAGAGUGGUUUAAAACAAAGCAAAUGUAUUAUCUUACAGUUCUAGAGGUCAGAAGUCUGAAGUGGGUCUCACUGGGCUAAAAUCAAGGUGUCCUUGGCAGGGCCAAGUGCUUUUCUGGAGGCUCCAGGGGAGAAUUUGUUUUUUUAUCUCUUCCAGCUUCUAGAGGCCACCUAUUUUCCUUGACUCAUGGCUCCUUCCUCUGUCUUCAAAGCUUGCAAUGGCCAGUUGAGUCUUUCACACCUCGUACGACUCUGACUCACAUUCUUCUGCCAUCUUUUUCCAUUUACAAGGACACUUGUGAUUACAUCUGUCUAUUGGGAAAAUCCAGGGUCACUUCCCCAUCUCAAGGUCAGCUGUGAUGAUAAUAGUUUGGAGCACCUAUAGCAAUAAACUAGGACGUGCAAGAAAAUGAUCUACCCAUGCAAUUCCCCCAACCGGGCUGCAUCAGGCUGGAAGGGUCAUGAAAUGGUUCCCACAGGGGCCACCGUGGAGCACAACCAGGAGCAUCGAACACCCGGGGCUGGCUCAAUUCCUUUCUACACCUGCCAAGAAAAUCUAAGUGGAUAAUGAUGCUGACCAAUCAAUGGGCCGUGGGCAACACAGGAAAUCAGUGGGCCCGCAAAAAGCUGGGCACCACGUGUUACGGUUGGGAAAUGAAUCUUCAGUGACAGAGCCCACAGAGGAAAACACCCAAACCUGACCCUCCCUUUAACCUUGCGAGCGCUAUCACUCAGCCAGAUACCACCACUGUUUCCCGAGGACUAAGAGAGAUGGCUCUUUGCCUGGUGGAGCUGUGAGGAAGAUGAUGGGAAACGGGCAUGCUGGCAUCGGAGUUUUUCUGGAUUGGAAAAAGAGGAUUUUACUUUUCAGCACCUGCCAGCAUGAUAGGUUUGCCAAGAAUUCUACACUAAACAAACACACACGCCUACAUCACCCCUCCUCCCAAGCAGGCAUAACCCACUGGGGAAGGAAACAGCUCAGGAAGGCGGAUGGCAGGGGUUCGUGAACCUUGCUAGUUUCCAGGGCACGAUCCAUUUUAAUCUCCGCCAGAGGACUUAAAAAUCUAUUCUGUCAAUAUCUCCCUUAUUAGUAAAGUUUGGGUCCCAAAGCAAGAAAACUAAGGCUUAAUUUUGACUUAGAAGAUUGUUGUUGUUGUUUUAUUAUAAGUUUUGAUUAUGUAGUAUGUGUGUGUAUAUAUGUUAUUCACUACAUACAUAUUUAUGUAUUUUUAAUAUAUUUUAUAUUUUAAUAUAACAUAUAAUACAUAUUAUAUAUUAUAUAAUAUGUAAUUAUAUAUUAAAAUAUAUAAUUAUACAUAUAUUUUAAUACAUAAAGUAUAUUUUAAUGUAUAUAUAAAUUAUACACAUGUAUAUUCAAAUGUGUAUAUCAAUAUUUAUGUAUAUAUUUAGAUUUGAAAGCCUUGGGGGACAUGUAGGUCCAUAUCCUCUUGUAGAUAUCGUAGUGGGAUCCUGGCUUUUGGUUAUCGUCUCCCCCAAGUCUCCUAUUCCCUUUCCGUCCCAUUUUUUUCUUGCAAAGAACAAGCAAUGACUGAGGCUUUCAUAGCCAUUGUCACAGAAUAGGUCCUGUGGGGAGUUGAUUUGUAAAAAGUUCCUGGACCAAAAUAAAGGUGGUGACCAAAAUGAAGUCAUCUCUGCCACCUCCCAGUGGGUAUCGAUGUGGAAACGGUAACUUGAAUCUGAAGCUUCUUUGUGCCCAGCCCCACUGUGCUGAUGAGAGCAGACAGGGUGGGAGAGAAAGGGGCACACAGAGUGGACAUGUGGAUGCCGUUCCUCAAGCCCUUGAAGAAACCAAGAGUUGGCCGCAGCCCUGACCCAGAGUUCUGGGAGAUGGGUCCGUGGUAACCCCGCAAGGGAGAAGAGGGCAAGAAGGCCAGGAUUCCCAGGGCUCAUCCAGAACAGCCCAUCCGUCCAGAUGGGUAUCCUUGAUUCCAGUACCUUCCCUGCUCACACAUCUCUUUCAUCCAUUCAUUGUACCACUCUGAAGUGUAGAAUAUGCAAAAGAGAGAAUAAAAUCAUAUCAUCGCCACAUGUAGUUUGCUGUGUCAUGCUUAUCCUGGUGGAU
rnacentral:lncRNA from 1 species